AGUGAACGCUGGCGGUAGGCCUAACACAUGCAAGUCGAACGGCAGCACAGUAAGAGCUUGCUCUUACGGGUGGCGAGUGGCGGACGGGUGGGGAAUACAUCGGAAUCUACUUUUUCGUGGGGGAUAACGUAGGGAAACUUACGCUAAUACCGCAUACGACCUACGGGUGAAAGCAGGGGAUCUUCGGACCUUGCGCGAUUGAAUGAGCCGAUGUCGGAUUAGCUAGUUGGCGGGGUAAAGGCCCACCAAGGCGUCGAUCCGUAGCUGGUCUGAGAGGAUGAUCAGCCACACUGGAACUGAGACACGGUCCAGACUCCUACGGGAGGCAGCAGUGGGGAAUAUUGGACAAUGGGCGCAAGCCUGAUCCAGCCAUACCGCGUGGGUGAAGAAGGCCUUCGGGUUGUAAAGCCCUUUUGUUGGGAAAGAAAAGCAGCAGGUUAAUACCCCGCUGUUCUGACGGUACCCAAAGAAUAAGCACCGGCUAACUUCGUG
rnacentral:rRNA from 1 species